rnacentral:rRNA from 1 species
ACUUAAAGAGAAAGUAAACAAAACUCGAUAUUUAACUUCCAUGCCUAUUAAAAUUUUUUUAAUUUUAUAAAGAGUAAAAUCAACUUUUUAAAGAUAAAUAAAUUUGCUUAUACUAUUGAUAAGUUAAUAAACAAAGGAAAUAAACUAGGAUUAGAUACCCUACUAUACCUUUAAGAAAAUUCUAUAUCUGAUUAAUAACAGUUAUGUACUCUAAAUUCAAAGAAUUUGGCGGUAUUUUAGUCUGAUUAGGGGAACCUGUCUUUUAAACGAUAAACCACGAAAAAUCUUACCUAUUUUCUAUAGUUUGUAUACCGUCAUUCAGAUAACUUUUACAGAACAAGUUAUUAAAAUAACACCGUUAAAAUAUUAGAUCAAGGUGCAGCAAAUAUUUAGGUUAAGAUGGGUUACAAUAAAACUUAUAUUACCACGAAUAAAUUCUAUAAGAUGAAUUUUAAAGGUGGACUUAAAAGUAAGGCUAUUUUAAUAAGAUAGCCUGAUUUUAGCUCUAAAAUGUGCACACAUCGCC